rnacentral:rRNA from 1 species
ACAGAGGUCCCAAGCGUUGUUCGGAUUCACUGGGCGUAAAGGGUGCGUAGGUGGCCAGGUAAGUCUGAUGUGAAAUCUCGAAGCUUAACUUCGAAACUGCAUUGGAUACUAUCUGGCUGGAGGAUCGGAGGGGAGACUGGAAUUCUUGGUGUAGCAGUGAAAUGCGUAGAUAUCAAGAGGAACACCAGUGGCGAAGGCGAGUCUCUGGACGAUUCCUGACACUGAGGCACGAAAGCUAGGGGAGCAAACAGGAUUAGAUACCCUGGUAGUCCUAGCCGUAAACGGUGCAUAUUUGCUGUAAAAGGAAUCGACCCCUUUUGUGGCGUAGCUAACGCGUUAAAUAUGCCGCCUGGGAAGUACGGUCGCAAGAUUA